GAUUUCUGGUUAAGUAACGCUAGCCCGCCCUUGCCAGGGGUGUGCGCUGGUUAGUUGCUUGCCAUCUUUCUAGAGAGCCAGCAGCUGUCAUUCACUUGGCGGCUGUGACGCGAUCUAGAUCUUUUACUUUGAAAAAAUUAGAGUGUUUAAAGCAGGCUUACGCUAUGAAUACAUUAGCAUGGAAUAAUAAUAUAGGACUUUGGUUCUAUUUUGUUGGUUUCUAGGACUGAAGUAAUGAUUGAUAGGGAUAGUUGGGGGUGCUAGUAUUCAGCGGCCAGAGGUGAAAUUCUCGGAUUCGCUGAAGACUAACUUAUGCGAAAGCAUU
rnacentral:rRNA from 1 species